rnacentral:tRNA from 1 species
AAUGAAGUGCCUGACUUUAAGGAUUAUUUUGAUAGAAUAAAUUAUGUAAAUUUUAUUUACCUUCAUUA